CUACGGGGUGCAGCAGUGAGGAAUAUUGCACAAUGGGGGGAAACCUGAUGCAGCAACGCCGCGUGGAGGAUGACGCAUUUCGGUGUGUAAACUCCUUUUAUAUGUCAAGAAAAUGACGGUAGCAUAUGAAUAAGCACCGGCUAACUCCGUGCCAGCAGCCGCGGUAAUACGGAGGGUGCAAGCGUUACUCGGAAUCACUGGGCGUAAAGGACGCGUAGGCGGGUUGGAAAGUCAGGUGUGAAAUCCUACAGCUUAACUGUAGAACUGCACUUGAAACUUCUAAUCUAGAGGAUGGGAGGGGGAGAUGGAAUUAGUGGUGUAGGGGUAAAAUCCGUAGAUAUCACUAGGAAUACCUAAAGCGAAGGCGAUCUCCUGGAACAUUACUGACGCUAAGGCGUGAAAGCGUGGGGAGCAAACAGGAUUAGAUACCCGUGUAGUC
rnacentral:rRNA from 1 species